rnacentral:rRNA from 1 species
GACGAACGCUGGCGGCGUGCUUAACACAUGCAAGUCGAACGGUGAACCACUUCGGUGGGGAUCAGUGGCGAACGGGUGAGUAACACGUGGGCAACCUGCCCUUAGCUCUGGGAUAACCCCGGGAAACCGGGGCUAAUACCGGAUACGACCUCGAGCGGCAUCACUCGAGGUGGAAAGAAUUUCGGCUAAGGAUGGGCCCGCGGCCUAUCAGCUUGUUGGUGGGUAACGGCCUACCAAGGCGA